UCUUAGGUCCAGUACCUUCUAAGAGUACCUGGCCCAGCCAAGGAUUUGAUAACCACAGAACUAAAAGGAUGAAUUUUCACUUGUUCAGCCUUCUAGGGCUGAACCACUGCCAGUGACUGAAAAUACACUAAGUUUACACCUAAAAGCUGACUGGGACUUAUAAAAUGGAAAAGGAGGGCAGAAAAGGUCUUUAUUUCUGCUUGAUGUCCCCCUUCGUGGGACCUGGCAAGGGAGAGGCACAUCCCUCUGGCUCAUGGCUGGGAAAUCUUGCACGGCAUUUAGAAGUUACAGACAAUCACCUCCUCUGAUCCCCUGGCCGACACAUGGCAAGAGGCUUCUCAGAAUAAUAAGAGCUGAGGACAGUGUCUGACACAUGAAAGGCCCCCAGAAAUGUGUGCAGCUAAAAUGAUGGAUGGCAGAAAUAGUUCACACAUUCAAAAAAUCCAAAGAUAAGAGAAAGCAGCCAUAUUCUGAGGCCCAAAGAGGACCUCAAAAUCCUAACAACUGCUGUUGUGAAUAGCUGAUAAAA
rnacentral:lncRNA from 1 species